rnacentral:rRNA from 1 species
GAUGAACGCUGGCGGCGUGCCUAAUACAUGCAAGUCGAGCGAACGGACGCGAAGCUUGCUUUUCUGAUGUUAGCGGCGGACGGGUGAGUAACGCGUGGAUAACCUACCUAUAAGACUGGGAUAACUUCGGGAAACCGGAGCUAAUACCGGAUAAUAUUUUGAACCGCAUGGUUCAAAAGUGAAAGACGGUCUUGCUGUCACUUAUAGAUGGAUACGCGCUGCAUUAGCUAGUUGGUAAGGUAACGGCUUACCAAGGCAACGAGGCAUAGCCGACCUGAGAGGGUGAUCGGCCACCUUGGAAGUGAGACACGGUCCAGACUCCUACGGGAGGCAGCAGUAGGGAACCUUACGCAACGGGCGAAAGCCUGACGCAGCAACGCCGCGUGAGUGAUGAAGGUCUUCGGAUCGUAAAACUCUGUUAUUAGGGAAGAACAUAUGUGUAAGUAACUGUGCAGAGCUUGACGGUACCUAAUCAGAAAGCCACGGCUAACUACGUG